UCCCUCUUAGCUCAAUCGGUAGAGCGCGUCGCUGCCCGCAUUUAGAGACAAAACACAGUGUACGACGAGCCCCGCGAGGAGCCACACUCACGACGGGGGUCAGUCGUUCUGGUCGGCUAGCGGGAA